rnacentral:rRNA from 1 species
AGAUUGAACGCUGGCGGCAUGCCUUACACAUGCAAGUCGAACGGUAGAGUAGCAAUACUCGAGAGUGGCGAACGGGUGAGUAAUAUAUCGGAACGUGCCCAGUCGUGGGGGAUAACGUAGAGAAAUUUACGCUAAUACCGCAUACGAUCUAAGGAUGAAAGCGGGGGAUCGCAAGACCUCGCGCGAUUGGAGCGGCUGAUAUCAGAUUAGGUUGUUGGUGAGGUAAAAGCUCACCAAGCCGACGAUCUGUAGCUGGUUGAGAGAACGACCAGCCACACUGGACUGAGACACGGCCCAGACUCCGACGGAGCAGCAGAGGAAUAUGACAAGUGGGCGA